rnacentral:rRNA from 11 species
GUUUACAGCCUAAAUACUUUUUAAAGGCAGCAGAUCCUGUUUGUUCUUAGACGUCAACCAGGCUCAGCCCUGGUUAAUACUUGGUUGGAAGACCUGCAAUAAAUAUCAGGUACUGUAAGCU